GGGACUUCGUGACGAUGAGUAUUUCGGUACGUAAAGUUCUUUUAUUAGGGAAGAAUAAAUGAUGGAAAAAUCAUUCUGACGGUACCUAAUGAAUAAGCCCCGGCUAACUAUGUGCCAGCAGCCGCGGUAAUACAUAGGGGGCAAGCGUUAUCCGGAAUUAUUGGGCGUAAAGGGUGCGUAGGCGGUUAAAUAAGUUUAUGGUCUAAGUGCAAUGCUCAACAUUGUGAUGCUAUAAAAACUGUUUAGCUAGAGUAAGAUAGAGGCAAGUGGAAUUCCAUGUGUAGUGGUAAAAUGCGUAAAUAUAUGGAGGAACACCAGUAGCGAAGGCGGCUUGCUGGGUCUUUACUGACGCUGAGGCACGAAAGCGUGGGGAGCAAACAGGAUUAGAUACCCUGGUAGUCCACGCCGUAAACGAUGAGUACUAAACGUUGGGUAAAACCAGUGUUGAAGUUAACACAUUAAGUACUCCGCCUGAGUAGUACGUACGCAAGUAUGAAACUUAAAGGAAUUGACGGGACUCCGCACAAGCGGUGGAUCAUGUUGUUUAAUUCGAAGGUACCCGAAAAACCUUACCAGGUCUUGACAUGCUUCUGCAAAGCUGUAGAAACACAGUGGAGGUUAUCAGUUGCACAGGUGGUGCAUGGUUGUCGUCAGCUCGUGUCGUGAGAUGUUGGGUUAAGUCCCGCAACGAGCGCAACCCUUAUUGUUAGUUACCAGCACGUAAUGGUGGGGACUUUAGCAAGACUGCCAGUGAUAAAUUGGAGGAAGGUGGGGGACGACGUCAAAUCAUCAUGCCCCUUAUGACCUGGGCUACAAACGUGAUACAAUGGCUGUACGAAAAAAUUAAAAAAAAAC
rnacentral:rRNA from 1 species